rnacentral:rRNA from 1 species
UACAGAGGUCUCAAGCGUUGUUCGGAUUCAUUGGGCGUAAAGGGUGCGUAGGCGGCGCGGUAAGUCGGGUGUGAAAUCUCGGGGCUUAACUCCGAAACUGCAUUCGAUACUGCCGUGAUUGAGGACUGGAGAGGAGACUGGAAUUUACGGUGUAGCGGUGAAAUGCGUAGAUAUCGUAAGGAAGACCAGUGGCGAAGGCGGGUCUC